rnacentral:rRNA from 2 species
UUGGAGGGCAAGUCUGGUGCCAGCAGCCGCGGUAAUUCCAGCUCCAAUAGCGUAUAUUAAAGUUGUUGCAGUUAAAAAGCUCGUAGUUGAAUUUCGGGGUCAAUAGGUUGGUCGUGCCAAUGGUAUGUACUGGCUUUAUUGAUUCCUACCUCUUGACGAACUGUGAUGCCAUUAAUUUGGUGUUGCAGGAAAUCAGGACUGUUACCUUGAAAAAAUUAGAGUGUUUAAAGCAGGCUUACGCUUGAAUACAUUAGCAUGGAAUAAUGAAAUAGGACGUUUGAACCUAUUUUGUUGGUUUCUAGGAUCGACGUAAUGAUUAAUAGGGAUAGUUGGGGGCAUUAGUAUUCAAUUGUCAGAGGUGAAAUUCUUGGAUUUAUUGAAGACUAACUACUGCGAAAGCAUUUGCCAAGGAUGUUUUCAUUAAUCAAGAACGAAAGUUAGGGGAUCGAAGACGAUCAGAUACCGUCGUAGUCUUAACCAUAAACUAUGCCGACUAGGGAUCGGAUGAUGUUAAUUUUUUAAUGACUCAUUCGGCGCCUUACGGGAAAC